rnacentral:rRNA from 1 species
UACGGGGGGUGCAAGCGUUGUUCGGAAUUAUUGGGCGUAAAGAGCGUGUAGGCGGCUUGGUAAGUCAGACGUGAAAGCCCUGGGCUUAACCCGGGAAGUGCGUUUGAAACUGCUUGGCUAGAGUAGGGGAGAGGGAAGUGGAAUUCCUGGUGUAGAGGUGAAAUUCGUAGAUAUCAGGAGGAACACCGGUGGCGAAGGCGACUUCCUGGCCCUAUACUGACGCUGAGACGCGAGAGCGUGGGUAG